rnacentral:rRNA from 1 species
UACGUAGGGUGCAAACGUUAAUCGGAAUUACUGGGCGUAAAGCGUGCGCAGGCGGUGAUGUAAGACAGAUGUGAAAUCCCCGGGCUCAACCUGGGAACUGCAUUUGUGACUGCAUCGCUGGAGUACGGCAGAGGGGGAUGGAAUUCCGCGUGUAGCAGUGAAAUGCGUAGAUAUGCGGAGGAACACCGAUGGCGAAGGCAAUCCCCUGGGCCUGUACUGACGCUCAUGCACGAAAGCGUGGGGAGCAAACAGG